rnacentral:rRNA from 1 species
CAGUCGCCGCGGUAAUACGGAGGGGGCUAGCGUUGUUCGGAUUUACUGGGCGUAAAGGGCGCGUAGGCGGACUGAUAAGUCAGGGGUGAAAUCCCAAGGCUCAACCUUGGAACUGCCUUUGAUACUGUUUGUCUUGAGUUCGAGAGAGGUAGGUGGAACUGCGAGUGUAGAGGUGAAAUUCGUAGAUAUUCGCAAGAACACAGUGGCGAAGGCGGCUUACUGGCUCGAAACUGACGCUGAGGCGCGAAAGCGUGGGGAGCAAACAGGAUUAGAUACCCGAGUAGUCCCUGUCUCUUAUACA